UUUGUUAGCAAUAAUGCUAACAGAGCAGAAAUGUGUUGCCUUGAUCUGCUGUGUGCUAAAACAUCUAAAAAAAACAGGCGCUGUUGUAUAUCGAUAUACCGGGGGGCUGGGAAGAUGUGGACAGCAUGAGUCAUUCCUCAUGAUUCAGUUGUUCGUUUGGUUCAGCCAUCUCUGGUUCAUCGGCAGUUCAGCAACAGGAGCAACAGACACACUGCUGUGCUUUAGCAGUGGAGGCUCCUGUUCCUGAGUCCCUACACCAUUGUCUCUUAACUCCACCAGCACUCACCGAGGGAGACACAUAAAACCUACCUAAUAAUGAAAGCUGGCUUUCCCAUCAUCCCCUGAGCCACGUCAGAGGCCACAGGAAUACCAUGCAACACUUUCCGUGCCUCAACUGCCAGCCACUGUCACCAUGACAACCCCCUUGAAGCUCGACAGGAGGUGGCUACGUGGACCUGCUUGUGAAAAGCAAGUCUGACAGAGUCUCCUUCUCUCCCUCCCUCCCUUCCUCCCUUCCUCCUUCGCUCCUUCGCUCCUUCCUUCUAUUCCUGAUUUGUACCUUAUUCAAAGCUCACCCAGCUUUGAACCAUCUGUACUGCUGUAGUCUCUGUUCUAUCUCUGGGUGUUUCUCUCAUUUGUGUCAGAUUGCUAUUUGCAUUUCAGGCUGUGCUGCCUUCUUUACAUACGUCAUGAGUCCAGUUGGUUAAUGUGGGUCUGUGGUACUGUACAUUUUUCAUGGUUUUUAAUGCUGUGUUCUUAAAAGUGCUCAAUCACUAAGCUCCGUUCAGCCUUCAGAACUACCAGACACCAUCUUCAGGCGUAGAUGUGUGAAUUGUAUGGCACACUUUUGCUGCUAUUUGAUUUGAUUGGACUAACAGGCAUCACACAACCACAGUAUUGAUCUUCAUCUUCAUCAAGAUGAGGCCGAUAGUGUAAGAGCAAUAAUAUGAGCGUUAAAUAAUGUGGAAUAAUUCACACCCCGGAUUCUGAAUGUAGAAAGGCUCUGCCUCUCUGACUGUGAAUGAGAUGGGGUUUCCAUGGAGACGGGAGGAGACUGUGUCUUCCACAUUUGCCCCAGCAUGAUAGCUUACACACACACACACACACACACACACACAUUCGCAAUGGCUCAGCUGUAGUCUCCCCACCCUACAUCACUUCUGCUUGUAACUUUGAAGAGCAGAGGCACCGUUUAUCUUAACCUCCCACAUCUUGCCAAAUGAAUAAGCUGUAUCUUGUGGCUCUUCAAGGUAGCUACAGCCAGUUCAGCUUUCUUCACAAAUGCACAGGCCUGUUAGAUGUAUACUGGUGACUUAUGAUCAUGACCUUGCUUCCCUAACGUUAAGGCUACUGCACUUCUGACCUCCUUCUAUGUGUCCUUUUUAAUUGGCAGCUACUCCAGAAGGAUUGGUCUCUAUAAAUAUUACAUGAUGGUUAAGAGUCAUUUGCUUAAAUAAUCUGCACAUGUAUUGGAAAAAAAUGCAGCCCUGUACUGUAUAAUGACAAAUAAACAACCUUGUACCAUAUACAUUGAAAGUCACAUUAG